rnacentral:lncRNA from 1 species
AACUUUCAGCCGAGGGGGAACCCGCGCAAGCUGCGCGCCCCUCCGCGCAUCCUCCGCGGAUCGCUCCCCCCCUCCCCUCCCCGCAGCCCCGUUACCUUCCUGCGGCUCCCCGGGGUGGGGGGGGGAGAGAUGCCGGCCGGCAGCGCUGCCCUCCGCGGGCGCGGCCGCCCUCCGCCUCCGCGCAAACUCCGCGGCGGCGGAGGGAGGAUGCGAAAGAGGCCGGGUGUCCUCCCCGAGGGUUUGGGGCUUUGCCUCCCGGCCGGGAGGGAGGAGGCUGCUGGAUCCCGGAGAGGCUGCGAGGCUCGGGCGAGGUUCGGCACCGGCACGGCCCGGAGGGGGCGCGGUGCGGGGAGCCGGGACCCCGGGACCCAGGGACCCAGAGACCCCGGGACACCCGGACCCGCCGCUGCAAGGCUGCGAGGCUGGCGCUUGCAGUCAGGGCAUCUCUGAUUCCCUCCGGAGUUGGAUUUUUUUUUUUUUGUUAGAAGAGGUGGUGGGGGAGGGAUGCGAAUUGUGACCCAUCCCGGCGGCUUUUUCCUCUCUGCUUCUUCUUGCCUUUUUUUUUUUUUUUCCUCCCCCAUCUGCUCGUUUCCCACUUCCCUUCCUCUCCGCCAACCAGCCCCCUCCUUCCCUCUCUAAAAAAAAAAUUAAAAAAAAAAAGGCAGGGGAAAAAAAAAAUGUAUAGUCAGGGCUUCCCAAAUGCGCGCCCCCGACCUGGUGCCAAGCGCGCCCCCUUCAUUUGUUCCCCUUCUUGAAGCUCAUUUUCAUGACGUGGAAAAGCCUGAUCCAGGGCAACAACAGCACCACACACACACACACACACACAGGGAGCAGGAGAGAAGCCCGAGAUCCUCCGCCGCGCCCCAGCCCUCCCGCUCCGCGCUGCCGGUGCCCGGAGAAGGCGGCGGCGGCGGCGCUGGAGCCUGCAGCAGCCCCUCUCCUCCCUCCUCCAUUGAGUGUGCCAAACAGCAGCUCUGCAUCCUAAAGAAGAUCAUUGAGGGGCUCAUUGCAUUCCCAGCACGUCUCAGCCUUGCUUCUUUUUUUUUUUUUUUUUUUUUUUUCCUUUUUGCCUCAGCUUCAGCAGGAGUAGAGAGAGAGGGAGAGAGACAGAGAGGGAGAGACAGAGAGAAACCAGCAAUCUUUAAACUCGAGCUUUUUCCCCCCUUCCCCCCUUUUUUCUUUUUUUUUUUCCCUUUGUUUUUUUUUUUUUUUUUGGAACGAUGUGCUAAAAUCUCUCCUGCAAACCGGUAAGUACAAGCUUUCUGGAUCCUUUUGUUUCCACGUAGGGUCAAAGACACCCCCUCUCCCCAAAAGAAGAUAUAAUAACCCUCUUUAUUUAUUUUUUUUUAUUACAGCCCUUGCAGAAGAGAAAGAACUUAAGUGGCUAAUAUUUUGCAAAGGAGACAGAGAGACUGAUACUGCAAUAUAGCUCUCAUCUCUCUCCCUUCUUCCCAAUUAGAUGCUGGCUUUAAUUGCAGGGGGUAUUUCUCUUUUCAUGCUUUCAACCACCUCUUUCCCACAGGGGAGGGUUUCAUUCGCAAGUUGAUCCUAAGGAUUUCUUUUCCUUUCGCAUUUCUCUCCCCUAAAUGCAUCUUUCUGCUCUUAAGUUUGUGGAUGGGGGUCAAAAUUUUCCAGUUCUUACGCGUGGAAGGGAAAAAGGACCAUUUCUAUUGAGAGAUUAAGACCGAAAGCAAUGAUCGCUCCGAAUAAUUCUAAUGGGCAUUUCAGUGAUUCAAGGAAGGCUGCAUCACCGCCGUUAUUAUUACCAUCCUUAGCAUUUCUCCAUGCCCAUACAUUUGAAAUAUCUGGUGAAAGGAAGGGUGAAACCAUAUGUUGAAGGAGCUGCAUCUCAUUAGUACAGUAUUAUUUUCAUCUGAUUGGAGAAGAACCGUGUCUUCAUUCGGAAACGUAUAUAGUAGGAUAGAUAAUUUAUCGGCUGGUAAGUGUCAAGGUAUUUUUUCUUCCACUUUCAUCUUUUUAACCGGGUCUCCUGCUUGGUCCUGGGGGCGCAGAAUACCCUAAUCCAAGGCAGGCUGAGCGUUUCAAUCCUAGGUGCCUCUUUAGCUGUCACUUCCCUUUAGAUCUGCUGAUCGCAUGGGCAUGUGCUUUAGAAAGAUUAAUCAUCUCUAAAUGCUUUAAUCAGCUAAAAUGACUAAUAUGUGGUAUGUAUUUAUCUGAUAAUAUACCAUUCCAUUAAUUCAUCUGUGUGUUUGAAAGGGGAAUGUUUUCUUUUAAAUCAGGAUUGUUAACC